rnacentral:rRNA from 1 species
GAUGAACGCUGGCGGCGUGCCUAAUACAUGCAAGUCGAGCGAACGGACGAGAAGCUUGCUUCUCUGAUGUUAGCGGCGGACGGGUGAGUAACACGUGGAUAACCUACCUAUAAGACUGGGAUAACUUCGGGAAACCGGAGCUAAUACCGGAUAAUAUUUUGAACCGCAUGGUUCAAAAGUGAAAGACGGUCUUGCUGUCACUUAUAGAUGGAUCCGCGCUGCAUUAGCUAGUUGGUAAGGUAACGGCUUACCAAGGCAACGAUGCAUAGCCGACCUGAGAGGGUGAUCGGCCACACUGGAACUGAGACACGGUCCAGACUCCUACGGGAGGCAGCAGUAGGGAAUCUUCCGCAAUGGGCGAAAGCCUGACGGAGCAACGCCGCGUGAGUGAUGAAGGUCUUCGGAUCGUAAAACUCUGUUAUUAGGGAAGAACAUAUGUGUAAGUAACUGUGCACAUCUUGACGGUACCUAAUCAGAAAGCCACGGCUAACUACGUGCCAGCAGCCGCGGUAAUACGUAGGUGGCAAGCGUUAUCCGGAAUUAUUGGGCGUAAAGCGCGCGUAGGCGGUUUUUUAAGUCUGAUGUGAAAGCCCACGGCUCAACCGUGGAGGGUCAUUGGAAACUGGAAAACUUGAGUGCAGAAGAGGAAAGUGGAAUUCCAUGUGUAGCGGUGAAAUGCGCAGAGAUAUGGAGGAACACCAGUGGCGAAGGCGACUUUCUGGUCUGUAACUGACGCUGAUGUGCGAAAGCGUGGGGAUCAAACAGGAUUAGAUACCCUGGUAGUCCACGCCGUAAACGAUGAGUGCUAAGUGUUAGGGGGUUUCCGCCCCUUAGUGCUGCAGCUAACGCAUUAAGCACUCCGCCUGGGGAGUACGACCGCAAGGUUGAAACUCAAAGGAAUUGACGGGGACCCGCACAAGCGGUGGAGCAUGUGGUUUAAUUCGAAGCAACGCGAAGAACCUUACCAAAUCUUGACAUCCUUUGACAACUCUAGAGAUAGAGCUUUCCCCUUCGGGGGACAAAGUGACAGGUGGUGCAUGGUUGUCGUCAGCUCGUGUCGUGAGAUGUUGGGUUAAGUCCCGCAACGAGCGCAACCCUUAAGCUUAGUUGCCAUCAUUAAGUUGGGCACUCUAAGUUGACUGCCGGUGACAAACCGGAGGAAGGUGGGGAUGACGUCAAAUCAUCAUGCCCCUUAUGAUUUGGGCUACACACGUGCUACAAUGGACAAUACAAAGGGCAGCGAGACCGUGAGGUCAAGCAAAUCCCAUAAAGUUGUUCUCAGUUCGGAUUGUAGUCUGCAACUCGACUACAUGAAGCUGGAAUCGCUAGUAAUCGUAGAUCAGCAUGCUACGGUGAAUACGUCCCCGGGUCU